rnacentral:rRNA from 1 species
UACGUAGGGUGCAAGCGUUAAUCGGAAUUACUGGGCGUAAAGCGUGCGCAGGCGGUUGUGUAAGUCAGAUGUGAAAUCCCCGGGCUCAACCUGGGAAUUGCAUUUGAGACUGCACGGCUAGAGUGUGGCAGAGGGGGGUAGAAUUCCACGUGUAGCAGUGAAAUGCGUAGAGAUGUGGAGGAAUACCGAUGGCGAAGGCAGCACCCUGGGAUAACACUGACGCUCAUGCACGAAAGCGUGGGGAGCAAACAGG